rnacentral:rRNA from 1 species
AGACCCGAAACCCGGUGAUCUAGCCAUGGGCAGGUUGAAGGUUGGGUAACACUAACUGGAGGACCGAACCGACUAAUGUUGAAAAAUUAGCGGAUGACCUGUGGCUGGGGGUGAAAGGCCAAUCAAACCGGGAGAUAGCUGGUUCUCCCCGAAAGCUAUUUAGGUAGCGCCUCGUGAAUUCAUCUCCGGGGGUAGAGCACUGUUUCGGCUAGGGGGCCAUCCCGGCUUACCAACCCGAUGCAAACUGCGAAUACCGGAGAAUGUUAUCACGGGAGACACACGGCGGGUGCUAACGUCCGUCGUGAAGAGGGAAACAACCCAGACCGCCAGCUAAGGUCCCAAAGUCAUGGUUAAGUGGGAAACGAUGUGGGAAGGCCCAGACAGCCAGGAUGUUGGCUUAGAAGCAGCCAUCAUUUAAAGAAAGCGUAAUAGCUCACUGGUCGAGUCGGCCUGCGCGGAAGAUGUAACGGGGCUAAACCAUGCACCGAAGCUGCGGCAGCGAACGUAUCACUUAAAGCGAUUCAGCGGGUUACGAUUGACGGAGCGAAGCGACGUCAAAGCGUAUACAAAGUCGAGUCGGUUUAAGGAUACGUUCGUUGGGUAGGGGAGCGUUCUGUAAGCCUGUGAAGGUGUGUCGUGAGGCAUGCUGGAGGUAUCAGAAGUGCGAAUGCUGACAUAAGUAACGAUAAAGCGGGUGAAAAGCCCGCUCGCCGGAAGACCAAGGGUUCCUGUCCAACGUUAAUCGGGGCAGGGUGAGU